UUCAUUAAAACACACACCUCAAAACAUUAAUUCAUCUUAUCCUCUUUGUUAUAAAAGCAAAUAUAAAUCAAAAACAUUAUGGGUGUGAAUACCUAUACUUAUGAGUCAACAACCACAAUUUCCCCAACAAGACUAUUCAAAGCUUUGGUUCUUGAUUUUGACAACCUUGUACCUAAAUUGUUGUCACAACAUGUUAAGAACAAUGAGACUAUUGAGGGAGAUGGUGGUGUUGGAAGCAUCAAGCAAAUGAACUUUGUUGAAGGUGGUCCAAUAAAGUACUUAAAACACAAGAUUCAUGUGAUUGAUGACAAGAACUUAGAAACAAAAUAUUCACUUAUUGAAGGUGAUAUUCUUGGAGAAAAAUUGGAAUCAAAAUUACCUAUGAUAUCAAAUUUGAAGCUAAUGAUAAUGGAGGUUGUGUUUACAAGACAACAACUGAGUAUCACACAAAGGGUGAUAAUGUUGUUAGUGAAGAAGAACACAAUGUAGGCAAAGAGAGAAUCAUGAAUAUUUCCAAGGCUGUAGAAGCAUACCUUCUCGCGAAUCCUUCUGUCUACGCUUAAAUAUUGAUGAAAAAGAAUCAGUUCUACACGUGAGAGAUUACGUAUGUGUUGUGAUUUUAAAUAAUUUAAAAUGUGUGUGUUGUUUUUAAGAAGUUUAAACUCUCGAAUGAGAGACGUAGAAGUUGAUUGAUGUUGUGUGUGUAUUUUCCAAUUGUAUGUCAUGGAAAGAACUUUCAAUAAAGAAUAUUGUCACAAGCUAAUCCUCAAA